AAUCUUAAGGUUUUGCAUAGGAGGUAAAAUCUUACUUUUUCCUUUACGAAUUCGAGUUCGCCAAAAUAUUCUGCAGUGUCAUCUCCAUCCUCUCCCUUAGCUUGCUUAUGAAAAUCACCAUCUUUGGGGUUUUCUGAAGUAGUAGUAGAAUUAGGUUGUUGAGUAGACAAGAAACUUUUUCAUUUUUCUAACUUAACAUUUAAGGUUUUGACUUGUUCUUCUAGAGAAGUCAAGUUUUCGACUUUCUUUUGUAGACUUGCGAAUCGUUUUGCAUCAAUAUCUUCUCCAGACAUGAUUCUCUUCUUUAUUUUCUUCUUCCUUCUUGGUUGUCGAUGAACUUCAAGAGGUUGUGAAAGUUCUUCACGGGAUCAUUUGUAUUGAUCGCGUGUUAGGACCAUAAACCACAAAACUCCGAUGAGAUCUAGAUGCUCUUGAUACCACUUGAUCCAAACGACCUAGCAAUAUAACUUAUGUAAAAAGAAAGGUGGAAAACAUGCAUAAAACGAAGAACAAAAUAAAUAUGGUGAGGAAGAAAUCCUUCCUCUAGGGUUUUCUCUAUUGCUUUUGAAAAAUUCAAAGAUUACAAUAUGAGAGGCUUCCCUAGUUCCUUUUUUGAUACAAGGCCUAUAUAUAGUGAUUAUACACUAAUUAGAGUUGAAAUAGAAGUUUUUUUAGAAUAGAAUAGGUUUAGGUACGUUAUUGGGCCUAAACUUGGGCCAAACAUGGACCUAGGAUGUCUGGAAUGUGCUCAGUACUGCAAUCCAGCGGUAAUGUACCUGACAACCUCACUGUCCAACGACAAUGUGCAUGACAGUUCACAUACCUGUCAGAAAUCUCCAACGACAGUCCAAUUUCCAACCCGUUUUCUUGUCAAAUUACUUAGUGUCUGAGGAUGUUCUAUACACCGUUGGACAUCUGGGAUAGUAUACUUUCCAACUCAAAAGACGGAACACGAUUUGGAUCAACGAGCACAAAUUUUCGCCAUUUUACCAUAGGGUAUACAUGUGCAUAAAUGUUACAUGUUAACUAGGGUCAAGUACUUCUUCUCCUCAACACCUAGAUCCUCCUGAUCAAGGGUGUAAAUUUAGGUCCUAUAUUUAAGUCUUCUCUCCACCUCUAUAAAUUGGUAUUUGAUCUUCACUAUAAAACACUUACUAUUACAACACAUAUUAGGGUAUUGGAGGCAAAAGAGAGAUACCUAAAUCUUCUGUAAUGGAUUAAUCAAUACCUAUCAAUGUGUACUUGUUACUAAUUGAUUUCAUGAUUCAAGAUCUCAAUAUGUUAAUUACGAUUAUAUUAGACUCAAACGUAUGCCACAUGUGAUGGGUGGUGAUGACGUAUUUUCUUUGAAGAGGUAAGCAAGCGUAUUAAAUCUUCAUUUUUAAUAAGGGCUACUUUGAGAAUACACCCCAUGUUCCUCAAGUUUGAAAAAAGAAACAUAUUUUGGACUAAUUGGGUGUAUUCUCAAAUGGACCCUUAGUAAUGGCAAUGGCAUUUAGUAGUAGAAGGCUAAUAGGACACAACUAAUAUUGAGGUCGAAAUGGUUGGAUCAAUUGGAGAACAAAACUGGGUAUCUUCUCAAAAUGGAUAUUAUAUAUGUACUUGAAAGCUCCACUGACCACUGUCAUUGCCAAAACACAAGUAACAUGACCAAAAGUUAAACCAUAGUCCAUAAUCUCAAAUUGGAUCCAAGUUUAAAUCUGAAAUGUGACCUAUGAAAUAAUUAAAAAAUAUAUACAUGACUAAAAAGGAAAUAGAGAUUAUAUAGGAGUAAGUGAUCAAAAUGAUUAAUUAAUAUAUAAUACUUGAGUUGUUAAUUAAGUGAACUAACAGAUAAGAUAGAUACAGAAAGGGUACUGAGGAGAAGCAGUUACUUAUCAUAAUUCAGCUUCACUCCUAUCCGUUUAAUCUUUGUCAUUUAAUAUGAAACAGAAAUAGUGAUAGAAUAGAAAGACUAAGGGGUUGUUUGUUUUUUUGGGGUCCCUCUUGUAAGAGGUUGCCUCUUAUAAGAGGUACAUGAAAAUCGUUUGAUUUUGCCUCUUGCAAGAGCUUAUAAGAUGUAAGGUGUUUGUUUUUAAAACCUCUUAUAAGAGGUAAACUUCACAAUUAUAUCCUUUUCUAAAAUAUUUUUUUUUUAAUUCCAUAAAUGUAUUAAAAAAAAAAUUUAAAAAUUAAUUUUUUAGCUUAAGAAAAAGAAAAUUUCAUAAAUAUAAGAGAGAUAGAAAAAUAUGUGAAAGAGAGAGAAAUUUAAAAAAGAUUUAAGGUAUUAUAUAUUUAAGGACUAGGGGUAGGAAAAAGUUAUAAAGAUCAUGGGUAGAAUAGGUAUUUAAAAAUAUCUACCUCUUAUAAGAGGCUAAUAGCAAGGUCAUUGCCACUACCAAAAAUCAGCCUCUUAUAAGAGGCAAACCUCUAGUAACCUCUUAUAAGAGGUGAAAAACAAACACCUCAUUUUAGUGGUCCACCUCUUAACAGAGGCUCUAGUAAAUCCAACCUCUUAUAAGAGGUAAAAACAAACAGCACCUAACUUUAAUUUACUAGUUUUCUUGCAAACCAAAGCUUGGAACCUAAUCCAAGACUUGUUGGUGGUGGUAGAAUUCCCAACCCAACACCUUUCUUUGCUCACACACAGUCACCCACGCAUAUUUGAAAGGAAAGAAAACAAAAAGAUACCUCCCAUCACUCACUCAUUCACUUUUUGUGAAUCAAAUGCCACUAGUUAUGAACACAGACCACUUACCUAAAGAAUUUCAACAUUUAACAUGAUCAAAGUUACAAAAGAAUCAAAAGAAUUUAUAAUAUCAAUUUAAUGGUAACAAGAAUUUGUAUGUGCCAAAUAAUUCACAUUUUGAAUCAGAUUACCAUGCCAUAUCAAAUUUUAAGAAAAAAGAAAAGAGGAAGGAAAAGUACGGGAGGUUUUAGUAAUGACAGUCAACCAAAGAUGUAGUAGUAGAGAAGACGAGUGGUUGUUGUUUUGAAGCAAAGGUAGCGAAUUUAGACUCGCGAUCUUCUUCGGGUGCUGGAAGGUUUAGAUCCAAUGACAAAACAUUUCUUGACUUCUUAUUAGUAGGCUCUUGAUGAGACUCAGUCAGGACUGUAUCCAUGGUAGUAGAAGUAGUACUAGUCAUGUUGGCUGUUGUCGAUGUUCUAUGUCGCCUCAUAUGACCUCCUAAAGCUUGACCUGAUGAGAAUUCUGAACCACAUAUAGAGCACUCAUGAACCUUGGACUUGUUACUAGCAUAUGGAGUAGUAGCUCUAUUUCCCAUUUGAAGAUUAAGAGAUGGAUUAUUGUUGUUAUUGAAUUGGCUAUGAUCAUCAUAUUCCAAAAGCAACAAUGUUUUCUUCUCACCAACCAUAGACUUAGGCUUCUUAUGACUUGCUCUAUGCCCGCCUAGCGCUUGAAACGAUGGGAAACAUCGACUGCAUGUUUUACACUGAUAAACGUAGUAUCCGGCUUUGCUAGUAGUCGUGGUAGGCGCUUCAGUGAAUCGCCUACUAUUAAAUUUUUCCAUCACACCAUUAUCAUCUUCAAAUUGUUUCGAAUUAUCCAAACUAUAUCCUUGAGCUAAGAGAAUUAGGCAAUUGGCCAUGUCCUCUUCUUCCUCAGUAGUACUUUCAACUAAUUCUUCGGUUGAUGUAGUUGGUAAUUGAUCAUCACAAAUAUUUGGAUCUCCACUACCACCUACACCAAUAACACCAAUACCAUUAUCAUUAUUACCAUCAAAACCAACAUCACCUUGAUCUCCACCACUUGAAGAAUUACUAGUAGUCAUCAUACCACCAACCAUAGCAAGAGGGGAAGACGGUCUUUGACGUUUCGUGCGCUUUCCUUUAACAAUUUGCACAUGAUCAUUAUUUGAUGAUCCUAUUACUUCUUCCAUAGCAACAACCUCCAUGAUCAUUCACCACACCACCACCUCCAAAAGCUUUAUAUAUAAAACUAGAAUGAAAGAAAGAGAAAGACACAAGUAGGGGAAAUGAAGAUGAAAAUGGUGAUGUAGUGAUGAGUAUAUAUAUGAUAUAUAUUUGAUGAAAGAAGAGCUGUUUAAGUAGUCAAAGAGCCGCCCCUAUAUGAACAAGUAACCGAGAAUUAGUCUGCUUUUGCGUUUCCAACCUAGGAAGUUAUACUCAUUUUAUAUAUAGAUAGAUAGAUUGAUAGAAGAAGAAGAAUGAGAGAGAGAGAGAGAGAGAGAGAGAGAGAGAGAGAGAGAGAGAGAGAGAAGGUUAUUGAAGACACAUAAGAGACACAAAGAUCGUAACUGAAAAAAGGCAAAAAAUAGACAAGUAUUAUGUGAUUGUGUGUGUGUAAACUUAACAGUUUACUAAAGUUAUAAUUGUCAAGUCCGUUUCACACUCUCUUUCUCACACUUUGCCAACUCCAUCACACCACAUUAUUAUCUAGAAAAAUAAACCACCAAUACCCUCCACCACCCAUACCAAAUUACACACACACACCAAAAAAAAAAAAAAAAAAAAACUAUAUACUCUCUUUCUUUCUUUACUUCUCUUAUCUUUAGAUAGAUUGAGAGAGAGAGAGAGAGAAGAAGGAUUGAAGGAAGGAAGUGAGUGAGAUUCGGUUGGCUUUCAAGCAAACCCAUUGCUUUUGUUUCUUACAGGAUUGGAUUGCAAGCCUGUUGCCACGGAAUUUGCGCUACUCCCUUUAUUUUUGUUAUUUUUUUAUAAAUGAAUAAGCAAACUUGUGAUGUAAGUGAAUAAAUUCUAAUUGUUUAUGAUUAUGAUGUGAGAGUGGCCAAUAAUAGAUUGGCUUGUCAAGUCUUAUCUUAGUUACAUUACAUAGUGGCUGCAUAUCUCUUCUCUUCUCUUCUCUUCUACACAUACUGUAUUAUUAUGACUUUUAAUUAGUAUGAUUUUGGGGUGUUAUAUUAUGAGUGGGGUAUUUAAGUUGCUAUUCUAACAAAAACAGUCCAUGUGCUACUACUGACCCUUAAAUUAAUUUUAUCUAAUUGUCAUUAAUUAUAUGUUAACAUUAAUUAACAUUAACAUAUCUUGUGAUGAUUUGAUUAGGAAAUUUUGUAACCUGAAACACCAAGAAUUGUGGUGAUACAGAUAAUUAUAGUGUAAACAUGCAGUAUACUACUCAUCAAAUGCAAUGCAACUAUCAUUGGGGGUAAAGAAUCAAGUUAAUGUAAGAAUCAUUUUGAGUAAUUAAGAUGAGUUGAUAGUCUAGAUUAAUCACACUUGUCCCAAUUAGAAUAUAAAUUAUAUUGUUGUUGGACCACCAACAAAAUAAGUACUAAUGGUAUCCCACUCCAUUCUCAUUAUCAAACUUUGAUACCUAAAAAUUGGACAAUUUGCUUUCAGUAUCGUUUAGCUUUAAAUUUAUAAUAACAAUGCAGUUGAAGAGGUGUGUCAUUAGCUUACUAGUUUAGUUCUCUUAAUUAAUUUCUGUAAAACCUCUAAUUAUAAUGCAGUUCCAAUGAAGUACUGAAGGGUUUAUAGAGAUCGAUGAGAUGGGGUACUGGUAACUGCAUGGUGAAAGAGUGAGUGGGGUUGAUUAGGAAAGGCAGCAGAUUCUUGGCAUAACAAUUUAUUUUGUUUGGUUGUGUGAAGCACGUAAUGAAACGCCAGCAGCAGCAAUAUUACAUAUAUAUAUACUGUAUUAUCAGUAGGUGGUGGGGGGAAGUAAAGCAUCCAUAUAUAUCUAUGAUCUAUCUAGUUAUAUUGGUAUGCAGAUUCAUUAAUGAAGCAAGUUAAGCACUAUUACAUUACAUACCUUCUCUCUUCUUACUCUUUCUCCACUUCCCUUCCAUCAUCUUUUCAUCUCUACAUUAAUAAUAUAUUUCUUCACAUCUAGUUCUCUACUAAUUAUAAUAUAAGAUCAAAGACUUUAUAUUAAUGUAAUAAUAAUGUGCAUAUAAUAUAAAGAUGUGUGGAAAAGUAUAGUAGGCAAAAAGAGUUAGAUUGAGAGCAAGUAUGCCUUAAGUACUAGUUCCACUUCACACGUCAACUUCAUGAUUGUGAGCUUUGAUACCUUAUGACCUACUCAUAUAUAUAUAGAUAGAACUUUUCUUUUUAUUUUUUGCUUGAAACUAACUACUAAGCACAACCUACAAAAGACAACACUUACACUUCACAGUGACAUACUUUAGACUUCAGAGAAUCACUCAAAAUAGUUAACUGUACCACCCUUAUCAGUGAGAAGAUGGUGAGUGUUCUAUUUAUACAUUUGAUUGGGUUGCCCCCCAGAAGGGCCAGAUCCAAUAAAAUGACGUUGGGUAUGGAUCAACCAUGGCCCAUUGGAUAAGAUGUCAAUGUUUAUAUUAUAUAGAUAGCACUAAGAUGGGCAUGAAUAGCAUCACAAAAGAUACCAUCUUUCAGAAUUCUCAUGAUUUUAAAGCUUUCAUACAACACAAGUGAGAAUAAAAACUAGGUGCCGUGGAGUAGGAGUCAAAUAAUGCUUCCCAUGUCAUUGUUUUCAAGUUUUUUGUUUACUAAUUAGAUAUACAGUCUAGAUGUUAAUGGCUUGUGACUUGUGAAAUGAGAAUUGUGACAAUCAAAACCUCCAUGUACAGAAAACAAACUAUUCAUUCCUUUAGACAUGGACUAUGACUAGAAUAAUACUACUAAAGUGCCAUCCUUAAGGAAGCAAAAGGUGUAACAAAAACAAAAGGUCUGUAACUUCAAUGAAAAAUAAGAUUAUAUGGGUGUUAAAAGGGGUCAGAUGGUGUCGGUUUAGUAGUCCUUAAGGCACCAACCAAUGCUUGGAAUUGAAAACCUACAGACUUUUUUGAUGUGGAAUCAAAAGUAAAGUUUUCAGUCUUAAUAUAUCCUUACAACACACAACACAGAGAAAAAGUUUGUAUUUUACAGUAAUUAAACUGGUUUAUAGU
rnacentral:lncRNA from 1 species